rnacentral:rRNA from 1 species
GAUGAACGCUGGCGGCGUGCCUAAUACAUGCAAGUCGAGCGAACAGACGAGUAGCUUGCUCCUCUGACGUUAGCGGCGGACGGGUGAGUAACACGUGGAUAACCUACCUAUAAGACUGGGAUAACUUCGGGAAACCGGAGCUAAUACCGGAUAAUAUAUUGAACCGCAUGGUUCAAUAGUGAAAGACGGUUUUGCUGUCACUUAUAGAUGGAUCCGCGCCGCAUUAGCUAGUUGGUAAGGUAACGGCUUACCAAGGCGACGAUGCGUAGCCGACCUGAGAGGGUGAUCGGCCCCACUGGAACUGAGACCCGGUCCAGACUCCUACGGGAGGCAGCAGUAGGGAAUCUUCCGCAAUGGGCGAAAGCCUGACGGAGCAACGCCGCGUGAGUGAUGAAGGUCUUCGGAUCGUAAAACUCUGUUAUUAGGGAAGAACAAAUGUGUAAGUAACUAUGCACGUCUUGACGGUACCUAAUCAGAAAGCCACGGCUAACUACGUG